UCGAACGGGAAUCUUUCGAGAUUCUAGUGGCGGACGGGUGAGUAACGCGUGAGAACCUGCCUCAAGGAUGGGGACAACAGCGGGAAACUGCUGCUAAUACCCAAUAAGCCGAAAGGUGAAAGAUUUAUUGCCUGGAGAGGGGCUCGCGUCCGAUUAGCUAGUUGGUGGGGUAAGAGCCUACCAAGGCGGCGAUCGGUAGCUGGUCUGAGAGGAUGAGCAGCCACACUGGGACUGAGGCACGGCCCAGACUCCUACGGGAGGCAGCAGUGGGGAAUUUUCCGCAAUGGGCGAAAGCCUGACGGAGCAAUACCGCGUGAGGGAGGAAGGCUCUUGGGUUGUAAACCUCUUUUCUGGGGGAAGAAGUUCUGACGGUACCCCAGGAAUCAGCAUCGGCUAACUCCGUGCCAGCAGCCGCGGUAAUACGGAGGAUGCAAGCGUUAUCCGGAAUUAUUGGGCGUAAAGCGUCCGCAGGUGGUCCAUCAAGUCUGCUGUUAAAGACCGGAGCUCAACUCCGGACAGGCAGUGGAAACUGGUGAACUAGAGUACGGUAGGGGUAGAGGGAAUUCCCAGUGUAGCGGUGAAAUGCGUAGAGAUUGGGAAGAACACCAGUGGCGAAGGCGCUCCACUGGGCCGUAACCGACACUCAGGGACGAAAGCUAGGGUAGCGAAAGGGAUUAGAUACCCCUGUAGUCCUAGCUGUAAACGAUGGAUACUAGGCGUUGCUUGUAUCGACCCGAGCAGUGCCGUAGCUAACGCGUUAAGUAUCCCGCCUGGGGAGUACGCACGCAAGUGUGAAACUCAAAGGAAUUGACGGGGGCCCGCACAAGCGGUGGAGUAUGUGGUUUAAUUCGAUGCAACGCGAGAACCUUACCAGGCUUGACAUGUC
rnacentral:rRNA from 1 species